CAGCAGCCACGGGAAUACGGAGGGGGCUAGCGUUGUUCGGAAUUACUGGGCGUAAAGCGCACGUAGGCGGCUUGGUAAGUUAGAGGUGAAAGCCUGGAGCUCAACUCCAGAAUUGCCUUUAAGACUGCCGAGCUAGCAGGUGAGAGAGGUAAGUGGAAUUCCGAGUGUAGAGGUGAAAUUCGUAGAUAUUCGGAAGAACACCAGUGGCGAAGGCGGCUUACUGGCUCAUACUGGACGCUGAGGUGCGAAAGCGUGGGGAGCAAACAGGAUUAGAUACCCGAGUAGUCCCUGUCUCUUAUAC
rnacentral:rRNA from 1 species